GUGCUUGCUUCAGCGGCACAUAUACUAAAAUUGGAACCAUACAGAGAAGAUUAGCAUGGCCCCUGUGCCAGGAUGACAUGCACAUUUGUGAAGCGUUCCAUAUUUUU